CACUGUUCACCAUGAUAAAUAACUCAUCUUACAAAAAUGUUUUUGUCACGUAAGGUCAUAAAUUCUCUUUUAAGCAAAGAUUUGCACUGGGUAUUACCAGAAUUUAAUCUUUCAUUGGCUUGACACAAUGACUCUUUCAAGUCAUGGUGAUUGUGAUAAUGAUUGUAAAGUCCGUUCAGAGCAACGGUCUUUGUACUAUAUGUGUCUUUUUCUGUGUGACUUUUAUCUUUCAUUAUUAUAUAAAUGUGAUGUAUGUUAUGUUCACAAAGUGAAUACUUCAAAAUGAGGAGGACAUGCUACAACAAAACAGACUGGGUGAAUGUGAGACUUCGAGGAGGAGUACUGACACAUCCAUUUCAACGGGAUGGUUCUAGCUGCGGAGUAAUGGUCAUCAUGAUGGCCAAAGAAGUAAUGGAAGCCAUCCAUCCAUCCAUCCAUCCGCUUCCGCUUAUCCUUUUUCAGGGUCGCGGGGGGCACUGGAGCCUAUCCCAGCUGUCAUGGGGCGAGAGGCGGGGUACACCCCGGACAGGUCGCCAGUCUGUCGCAGGGCUAACACACAGAGAUUUUUGACGACAAAAAAAGAGAUGGCCCAGGCACGAAGGACAUUUGCAC
ensembl:lncRNA